UAGGGAAUCUUCCGCAAUGGGCGACAGCCUGACGGAGCAACGCCGCGUGAGUGAUGAAGGUCUUCGGUUCGUAAAACUCUGUUAUUAGGGAAGAACAAAUGUGUAAGUAACUAUGCACGUCUUGACGGUACCUAAUCAGAAAGCCACGGCUAACUACGUGCCAGCAGCCGCGGUAAUACGUAGGUGGCAAGCGUUAUCCGGAAUUAUUGGGCGUAAAGCGCGCGUAGGCGGUUUUUUAAGUCUGAUGUGAAAGCCCACGGCUCAACCGUGGAGGGGCAUUGGAAACUGGAAAACUUGAGUGCAGAAGAGGAAAGUGGAAUUCCAUGUGUAGAGGUGAAAUGCGCAGAGAUAUGGAGGAACACCAGUGGCGAAGGCGACUUUCUGGUCUGUAACUGACGCUGAUGUGCGAAAGCGUGGGGAUCAAACAGG
rnacentral:rRNA from 1 species